rnacentral:lncRNA from 1 species
UAUACGAAACAGCCUACGGGAAAACAAGACCAGUGUCACUCAAAAAUAACUUCACAAAUUUCACGAGUAAUUUGUGAAAAACACUCUCCAUUUACUCCUAUGAGAAGCCCCUCUCACAAUACUUUCACGAAAAAUUCCCUGUAUAGUCAAAUCAGGUCAUACGAAGCAAUUUUUUGAAAUAGACAUUACGGGUCUUCCGAAAAACUAUCAUUGAUAAUUUUUCGUAUAAUAAAAACAAAGCUCCAUGAAGAUUUCUGACUUCUACUUUUUACUUCCCUCGGUUACAUCUUAGCAGGAAAUCGCCUCGCAACCAAAUCCACAAGGGUUUUGCGUAGAGCCUCUUAAAAUUUGGCACCCUCGGAUAAAAAGGAAACAAUUUUAUACGAAUAAAGGAAACAACAGUACACGAAACAUUCAUCGUAUAACUUAAACCCAAAGUGGAAGCUCGUUUUAAAACAACCAUCAACCAUAACACGGAAAAACUCCGCUAUACUUGGCCUAUCAAUCUCGACAAACGCUAUUUGGCCCUCGGCCAACUACGCCUCCCCGUAAAACCUGAACCAGAAUUCAGCAUCCUCUUUGAGGAUAAUCGUAUGACAAAAGUUCCAUGGUCUGGUCCUUUACCAACAACGUCCUUGGCCAUACGGCUGAACACAGUCUUCAUCCAAGCCAUAAUAAUUAAGCGACCAC